rnacentral:rRNA from 1 species
AUUGAACGCUGGCGGCAGGCCUAACACAUGCAAGUCGAGCGGAUGAAGGGAGCUUGCUCCUGGAUUCAGCGGCGGACGGGUGAGUAAUGCCUAGGAAUCUGCCUGGUAGUGGGGGAUAACGUCCGGAAACGGGCGCUAAUACCGCAUACGUCCUGAGGGAGAAAGAGGGGGAUCUUCGGACAUCACGCUAUCAGAUGAGCCUAGGUCGGAUUAGCUAGUUGGUGGGGUAAAGGCCUACCAAGGCGACGAUCCGUAACUGGUCUGAGAGGAUGAUCAGUCACACUGGAACUGAGACACGGUCCAGACUCCUACGGGAGGCAGCAGUGGGGAAUAUUGGACAAAGGGCGAAAGCCUGAUCCAGCCAUGCCGCGUGUGUGAAGAAGGUCUUCGGAUUGUAAAGCACUUUGAGUUGGGAGGAAGGGCAGUAAGUUAAUACCUUGCUGUUUUGACGUUACCAACAGAAUAAGCACCGGCUAACUUCGUG